GGGCUCCACUGUACAAAGAAGGCAGGGCAGCAGGACUAACCCCUUCCUCCCGGAAGAUGCUGCUGAGGGAGGCACAGGAGAAGAUCUAGCUGGGGAGGACAGGGAAACCCGGCACAGCCCAGGCAAGGACUGAGGAACGAUAACUGCCAGUUCUGGUGUACAACGCCUGUGGGGAUCUUCUGCACUUUGCUGCUAGGGUCUCGUGGUAAACGCCUCCCCUAGCAGAUGGGGACAGUGAUGUGUUUGAGCUGAAUGGCCAAAGCAGGCAGAGCACGGUGUGGAGAAGGCAGAUCUAGCUCCGCAGGAAAUUUUACUACCAUGACUCUUUCAUCUCUCUCCUGGUUUGAAGAUAAAUGAUCCUUGGACUCUUCUGGACCUGCAUAAAUCACAAAAGCAAUCUACUAAGAGAGCCGCCUGUGGCACCGACUUCGGCUGGAAUUGAAAAGGACAGUCAAAAAUAUCCACGGUUGCUUACAAAAGGGGUAACCCAAACCAUCCUCUGGGCAAGAGGGGAGGAGGCCGGUGGUGGGACUGCAGCUCCAUGGGGUGGGAAGGACCCCAGGAGAGAGCACACCGAUCACAGCACCUCCUGUGUCUGGGCACAGGGCUCCAUCCCUAAGACAGAGGGGUCUGGGUGCAUCCUCCCGGGGUACUGAAUUUGCCCCUGGGUGUCAGAUGGGUGUGACACCAUCCCUGCCCUAACCGUGGGGCUUGCCCGUUAACCCAUCUCUGGACAAUGGGCUGAGGUCAGUGAGGUGUCACCUUUGAAGUCUGGGCUUUGGAGGGGCAGCUCACCAUGUAUUUAAUUGAUCUGAGCCUUUGAUGAGGUUUUAUCUGCAGGAUGGAGAAGCCUCAAUGCUCUGUCAGUCUCAGCACUGUAUUUCUAUUCUCAGAAAUGUCCUGUGAGGGUCCAACCUGAUGGUGAUGACACCCAAAGCACCAGCGACAAGGCACAAGGUGAACCCCCCCCCCAUGCUCUGCUCUCACUUGAGAGAUGACUACAUGGUGGCACCGGCAGCCAGCUCCUGCACUGCCAGAGCAAACGUGCCUGGAUUCAGGACUUUGUGGGAGACACAAAAUGGAGGCAGCCUGAAGCACAGCCCGGUGAGUGGGGAGACGAUGGUCAGGACAGGAGCGGAAGAAGCCUGGAAAGUGACAGACAGACGGACAGGCUUGACGUGAGGAGGAGAUGACAGCCGGGAGUUGCAGGUGUGGAAGAGAAAAGGCAAGGAAGGUAGCAUGCUUUGCUCCAUCAGAGACUGACUUCUGCACAGUCUUUGCGUCCCUGUUGAUGCUGGGUCACUGGGAUCGUGGCGGAA